ACCAGGAACAAGAUGACCACAGACAGCAAGUAGCUCUUGCCAGCUCCAAAAACACCUGGGGUUUUGGAAGAAAAAGCCCAAGUUACAAGUGAUCAUCUGAGCCACGUGAAUCAGCGAUGCUGCUUGGUCUGGGUUCAGGGAGAACCUCUGGAUCAUCUCUUCAGCCACUCCCAUUGCCACUUGAGAGCUCACAGGGCCAGGCAUCAUGGAGCACUUCACACUCAUGGCAGAAAGAAAUCUUUACUCUUUAAAUGUAGAGAAAAUGUGUUAAAUCCUGCUGAAGUCCUGGGCUACUGGAAUAUUCAUAAACCUUGAA